GGAUGUUCAUUCAAAUAUCUGCCCUAUCAAUUUCGAUGGUAGGAUAGAGGCCUACAUGGUAUCAACGGGUAACGGGGCAAUUCAAGGUUCGAUUCCGGAAGGGAAGCUUGAGAAACGGUACAAAUCCAAAGGAAGGCAGCAGGGCGCAAAUUACCCAAUCCCGAACGGGAAGGUAGUGACAAUAAAUAACAAUACAGGGCUUUCUAGUACUUGUAAUUGGAAUGAGUACAAUUUUAAAUCUCUUAAGAGGAACCAAUUGGAGGGCAAGGUCUGGUGCAGAAGAC
rnacentral:rRNA from 1 species